rnacentral:rRNA from 1 species
CCAAGGAGUCUAACAUGUGUGCGAGUCAUUGGGCGCACUAAACCCAAAGGCGUAAUGAAAGUGAAAGGGGGGCGUCCCGGAGUCCUCGUGGCUUCGGUCGGCGCCCUCCGGGGCCGAUCCCUGACCGGUCGAUGCCGCCGUUUGGUUUUCCCAUGCCAAAGCGAGGUCAUCCCAAAGGGGGUGCGCGGGGUGAGUCCCUUUCCCCCGUCGUCUGCCUCUGGCCUCGUGGGAGCCCGGCGCGCUCUUUGACGGUCCGAGCUCCCUCGUUGGGGCUCGCUUGUACGCAGGGGGGCGCAGGCCCGGGACUUGCCAUUUGACGCCGUCGCGCGAAUCUGUUGUUGGCCUCAUCGGCUUUGCUUGGGCUCUCGGUUGGUGCGCCGCGUGUCUUUGGGCGGGCUUUGGGUGGGGGGCCUCGGCUCCUCCCCGGGUUCGUCCGGCGCGGUUUCGCCUUCCGAUCCUGCUCUGUUCGGAGUGGCCUAGCGCGCGUGCUGUCGGCAAGUACCAUGAGCAGACAUGUUGGGACCCGAAAGAUGGUGAACUAUGCCUGGCCAGGAUGAAGCCAGAGGAAACUCUGGUGGAGGUCCGUAGCAAUUCUGACGUGCAAAUCGA